rnacentral:tRNA from 1 species
UAUUUUGGCAGAUUAGUGUGUUUGAUUUAGAAUCAUUUUAAGUAAUAUUAAUUACAGGUAAUAU